UUUUUUUUUUUUUUUUUUUUUUUUUGUCUUUUUGCUAUUUCUUGGGCCGCUCCCGCGGCAUAUGGAGGCUCCCAGGCUAGGGGUCGAAUCGGAGCUGUAGCCACCGGCCUACGCCAGAGCCACAGCAACAUGGGAUCCGAGCCGCGUCUGCAACCUACACCACAGCUCACGGCAAUGCCGGAUCGUUAACCCACUAAGCAAGGGCAGGGACCGAACCCGUAACCUCAUGGUUCCUAGUCGGAUUCGUCAACCACUGCGCCACGACGGGAACUCCUGAAUUUUAUCUUUGUUUUUUUCUUUUUACAGCUACACCUGCUACAUAUGGAAGUUCCUGGGCUAGGGGUCAAAUCAGAGCUGCAGCUGACAGCCUACACCACAGCCACAACAAUGCCAGAUACUUAAUUCUCUGAGUGAGGACAGAGAUCAAAUGUGCAUCCUCACAGACACUAUACUGGAUUUUUUACCCACUGAGCCACAAUGGGAACUCCUAAAUUUUAUAUUUUAAAAUGUGUCCCAAGGAAUUCUUUCCCCACUGUUUGUGCAGAAACAACACAGCAUAUCAACAUCACAAAGCUGCAGACACUGGGGAGUUUAGGAACUACCACUGUCCCUUGUCACCAUGCAGUUUUAUUUAUUCCAACCACCCAGAAUAAAUGCUUUAAGAAAGCUGAGGACUUAUCUUCAAUUUCUAAAAAUUGCCUGGGCAGGGUAGGUCCUCAAAAUUAUCUGUUGAAUCGAAUGAAGUCUAGGAAAUCAAUAAACCCUUUCCUAGGCUUGAGAUUUCUAAACUUAUCCUCAGAGCCUCAUAGCCAAGUAUGACUCCUUCCCCUGGUCAUUGUAACCCUGGGAGGGUAGGAAGGGCAGAGACUCCAGGAGGGAGGCUUGAGGCCAGCCUGUGCCUAUCAGAACAAACUUGUGUGAGUGGGUGAGAAGAACAGGGUUCCUUUCCAUCUCUCAACUACUAUAGCUGCUCCUGGAAUCUCAAGGACCACACAGUUCCCCAGCCACAUGAGUGAAAAUUGGAAGAGUUGGGGAAGAACACCAUGGAGGAGCCUGGGAUAAAAGGAGGGAGCCUAUGGCAAUUGAUGGAGACCCUGGAGCGAAACUUGUGUCUCUUGGGACAUGGCAGAUUUUAGUAACAGAAAGGCCAGCAAGAUGGUGUCAGAUGGGGGUGACUGAGCGGAGAAGGGGCUGGAGAGCAAAACUUCUAUGUCAUGAAUUCAUUAGAGGAAAUGUUUAUUACAUUUGAUCUUAGCCAAAAGGCUGAGAAGCCAUAGGAAAUGCUUUUUAUUGAUGUGCAGUCUGCAAGUGUGAAAGGAGAAAAAGUAGACCCUCAUGUCUGAGAAUCUCCCAACAAGCAAAAGUUAAGAUACUAUAAAAUAUAUAAUCACUGUUGGUGAGUUAAAUGGGUAGAAGGCCAGAAAAGUCAUUUUGCAGCUUGAGUUAUUAACAGUAGGCAUGAUUUGUGAACUAACACUAUUCCUUACCAGGGGUAGGUGUAGGACCUGACGCAAUUUCUUAAGCGUAUUUUAUAGCUUAGUGUUACACAAGGCAUGGGGUUAAGGGUUACAUCCCCCAGUGAGUAAACAAUGGCUAGUAUCUUUUGACCUCAAAUUCCAGAAAAAUCUGACGGAGAGGAUCAGUAACAUUUUAUGACAAAUAACAGAGCCUCAUCAAAUCCAUGUUACUUGAGAUCUCAGCUUGAUUAGUCAGUUAACAGCACUCCCCAUUUAUUUAGCUCACUAGGUUGUAAAUGUUCCCUCCACUUCCACUCAUAUGUCAGCACCCAGAAAGGUCAUCUGGAGUGUAAAGCAAAUAAUGUUGCCCACUAUCCAGUUCUACAAGGAUCAAGACGUUAGCCACUGCAGUCACAGAGUGACAGAGCACCCUGGGAGGAAUUCAGAUAUAAAUGUUUUACUAGGGCUCCCAGCAGCUCUUAGCUAGACUAUCUCCAAUGCCUGACACUGUGAGAAAAAAAAGGACGUCUUUUUUUUUCUUUAUUGGCCAUGCCCACAGCACGUGAAAGUUCCCAGGCAAGGGAUCAGAUCUGAGCUAUAGUUGCAACCUAUGCCACAACUGCAGCAACAACAGAUCUUUAACCCACUGCACCAGGCCAGGGAUUUAACCCAUGCCACUUCAGAGACUGUGAGGGAUACUUAACCCGCUACAGUGGGAACUCCAGAAGAGGUCUUUUUAAACUCAAAUAAGUAGACAGUUUAUUCCAACUGUUAUUUAUAAACUAGUGAGUUUUAUAUUGUAAUACCUGACUCAUGACUAAUUUUAAAAUGAAAACUAUCCAGGAUAGACAAGAAGACGGACCCUAGGAUUCCCUUGGGCUCAAGACCACUUGGGUGCAAAAUUAGAUGAUUCCAGCAAAAUUACCAUUGGUAUGAGGCCAAUGAAUCAUUGAUAUUUUAUUGGUAUGACCAUGUAGCAGCAUUCUUUGCACCUCCAGUAAGAUUGGAAAAUAUAAUCACCCACAUUGAAUCCUUAACAAAAUUCACUCAGCAAACCUUAAAUGAUAUAGCUGUCAGCACAUUAUGCUACUGAAUUCUGAUGUUUCCAUGAGGAAAAAAAGCACUAUUACAAUGUCACAUGGCCUUUGCAUUUCAAGGAGG
rnacentral:lncRNA from 9 species